rnacentral:lncRNA from 1 species
CUUUAAUAAUCUAGGAGGAGUAUUUGGGCUAUCCCAGCAUUAUGCAUCUACAUAUUACAAACUAUUUAAGAUAUCUGAAUGCACUAAAGACCAACAAAAGAAUAAUUACUGCCAAUGCAAAUCUGCAAUCUGCCAAUCAUGCAAUAAUUUAACUGCCAAUCAUGACAAUAAUUUACCAGACAAUAAUCAUAACUUAGUGAAUAAACAUGAUGCAAACUAUGGUGUAGAAUUUCCAACAGGAGUCCUUGUUUUAUAUAAGACGAGGAGUGGUUUAUUUUCCUAUGGUUGUUAUAUCAUCUCGUCUUAGACAUGUUAGAAUAUGCUUGAAGUACAGGGACUUUUAUGGAAUUCAUUGACAUUAUAGUCAAGCAAGAUGUCAACAUCCCGUCCAACCGUCUUCCAGCAAAGCCAAUUUGAAAGCUGACCAAGGAUCUUCAUCAUUUCCUGACAGGGUGUAUACAGGACGAGUCAUUCCACUAGGAUCAGGUACAUUGUACAACUCUUAACAAUCAAUUUUCAUAAGUAGUAGUACAACUUCUUAACAAUCAAUUUUUAUUAGUUCUUUAUACAUGUAUAAAGGCCGUUUAAGGGGAUCUCAUUGGGGGUGUGGGGUUCUGAUCCCGGAACACCGCUUAUUGUUUUGUUAGAUUCCAGUAUCCCGCUUAUACUAUGCACCUAAGGAAGCUUCCAUUUGAUUUUUAUGGGGGGGGGGGGGCUUGGUAGAUGAAAUAUUUUUGUCCUGCAUUUUUUUUUUAGCUGUAAUUUCUGUGCUGCCUUUUUAUUUUUCACUCUGUUUGGUCCUGCCUUCUUUUUUUUUUAGUUUAUCUUGACUUUUUUUACCUAAAUUGUCGUCCUGACUUUUUUUUUUGCAAGUGUCUCAUCCUGCCUUUUUUUUUUACUCAAAACUCCUGUCCUGCCUAUUUUUUUCAAAUUUCAUCCUAGCCCCCUAAUGAGACCCACUAUAUAGUCAAUCUGAAAUUAGGGGACCAACAUUUGAUACAAUAGCCAGAUGAAAAAAGAACGGAGGGAGUUGAAAGGGCAUGUGAAUAUUCUUUUACACCUGACCUGUUCUAGGACAUCUUAUCUAUUAUUUCCCAUAUAGCCAAGUGCAAACAAAUAAUAUACUGUAAAUUGAGAAAUUAUUGUAAUGUUUUUAUUAUAGCUAGAAUGUGAAAGGGUAAUCAUGUAAAACAUUUUUUUUUUUUGUAAUUGCAAUUUAAUUAAAACUCACAUUUUGAGUAUUUUUUAUAUGAAUCAAACAGGAUAUUUCUGAAUAUCUCAAAAUUUAAAUCACAUUUCAGUCUUGAAUUAUAAAAUCGCAUUAAUAAACCCAUGCAACAGUUAUAUAUUAAAUGUAUAUAUGGCGUGAGUCUUGGGACCAUUUAAUUACCAAAAAGAAAGGGGGAGGAUUAGAAUGGUCAAAAUAUCCUUGUCAGCUAAGGACAGAAUUUAAAUUGUUAAGCUAUUAACCAGGGUACAAUAUACAUCAUGUACAUGUAUAUUAAUUUUUUGCUUAAAAAAACAAUUUAUAGACCAUAAGCAUGAUAAGCAUGAUAGUAAUCAAAAUUUAUUUCAACAUGUUCAACAUUAAGCAGGACAAUAUGUUUUUAUUCUCUUACCCUAAGUUUAAUUUUAAGUUUUUAAUGGAAGUUGUACAUGUUCAGGUCUUUGUUUAUUAAAAAAGCUUCUACCUGGUGGUAAAGCCUCAUUCCAAAACAUGUUUUACAUACAACAUUCUGUACAUGAAACACUAGAUAACUUUAUCUAAAGAAUAAUCUUGUUUAAUGAUCUAUUAUACAAUGUCAAUGAAUGUAGGCCAUGGCGACUAAAAAUAUCAAAAGCAUUGCAAACUUUUAUAAAGUUCAAUUUUGGGACCUUACAUGUACAUUGAUGUACAUGUAUGUAUAAAUGUAUGAAUUAUAUUUAUAGAGCCCUUUUUAAAAGAAACAAAAAAAAACAUGCACAGUGAUGCUACACUACCCUACAAUUCCUGUGAUACAAAAUUGAAGAAUUAUUUUAUAGUUUAACACUUUUCAUUUGUAGGACUAUUAUCAUGAUAAUAGAUGCAGGCAAUGCUGAUGAUUUUUUGUGAAUGUGACAAUAGCCAGGUCAAACUAAAUACAUGUAAAGAACAAGAUACUGGUAAGAUAUUAUUAACCUAUAUAUUAAUUUAACUGUUUGGAAAAUAUGGUUAUAAUGACAUACAAAGUAUAUACGUCAUCACCUUUAUAAUAAUUAUACAUCAGUUUUAUUGAACAUGUCUUUGUUAACUUGGUUUUCCCAUUGAAAAAUCACUUUUAUACUAAUUCAAUUUGUAGUAGGAAUACAUGUAGUACAUUCGUACAUAUAUAGGGCGGUCCUAUGUUUUGCAUUCAACAACUAUUACAUUUUCAAGAUGGCCACUAAGGAUGGCAAAAAAAAAAGUCGUCAUCUUUAUUUCCUGUCAGUGGUAAACAUGUAAAUGAAAAAUAUGAAAAAAAGUGGUAUGAUUGCCAAUUAGAAUAAAUGACAUACAACUUAUAUGUAAGCUAUAAGUCUUCAUAUGCCAUAUGGCCUUCAACAAUGCACAAGACCAAUACUGCAUAUCUAUUCAGCCAUAAAAGGCCAAAAAAUUGGAAAAUGAAAAAAUAUGAAAGCUAACAGCCUGAUCUAUAUAUGUACAUGUAUGUUUUGUGAUUUUCAGAUCUAGACUCACAGCUAACUGAACUUUACAGCAGUCAACAUCAGAUUGGAAGACUGAUAAUGCUUCUGACAGAAACAAUUUCAACCAACCAAACAAGUAACAGAAACUUUGCAUCUUUAAAACACUACUUACAUCUUCCAUGGGAUGAUGUUCCAAAAAAUAACAGUUCAUCAUUAAUGAAGAUUUUUAUGUUAUGGAUUUUCUUUUACAAGAAAGUUAAUGUACACUUGUUUUUAUAGUAAAACCUUGCUGUUCAAGUAUCAAAAAAACAUUUAACUUUAUUGAAAUUUGAAGAUUCAUAUGACUUGUUUUAAUUUUGUUAUUUCUCAGGAUGUCAUGUAGAGGUACAGUCAUGACAGUAAUCUAAACAGCUAUUCAAUUUCAUUCAAAAUUCUUUGAAAAUUUGGCACUAGUAAAUAUAAACUGAAGUAAUUUGUUUUUCGUCUAGUUAUGGGAUUUUUAUGGCCAGUAACAAAGUAGUCGGUGCCUUAAGUUUUACCCUUGUACUAAAAUACCGAUUUUCCGUAAUUCCAUAAUUCAGUCAUUCCGAAACAAACCAUUAUACAGUGUUUUUUUCUAAACGCCAUAGAUAUUGGCCUGAUUUUUGGUAUGUAAGUUGACUAUGAUGAGUUACAGAUCAAGUAUAAGUUUUGUUCCACUCCCCUAAUUUCUGUUGAAAUUACCCGCUAUGGACUUUGAUAAAUUGUUGAAAAUCACAGUUAUAUGCACUUUUUUCCUAAAAGCUUUCAGAUAUUGGGCUGAUUUUUGGUAUGUGA